GACGAACGCUGGCGGCGUGCCUAAUACAUGCAAGUCGAACGCAGGGGGGACGGGUGAGUAACACGUGGGUAACCUCCCAUCAGAGGGGAUAACACUUGGAAACAGGUGCUAAACCGAUACCGAAGGAUGGACCCGCGGUGCAUUCGCUCGUUGGUGCGGUAACGGCUCACCAAGGCCACGAUGCAUAGCCGACCUGAGAUAGUCAUCGGCCACCUUGAGCGUGAUACACAGCCCAGACUCCUACUGUAGGCAGCAGGAGGCAAUCUUCUACAAUGGACGAAAGUCUGACCGAGCCACGCCGCGUGAGUGUAGAAGGUUUACGGAUCGUAAAGCUCUUUUGUUCGCGAAACGGUGUCUAGCCAUAGCGCCACGGCUAACUACGUGCCGGCCGCCGCGGUAAUUC
rnacentral:rRNA from 1 species